CCCCUCUCAGGGUCGCAUCUGAAGAGUUUCCAGUACUCUACCGGUCUCGGCUAUGGGAGGGAGAGUCAAGCAGAGGCCUCCCUAUUCCAUUUCUAGCGUGGGCAGUGACUAGCAAGUGGAAGGCAAUCUGCUACAAAU